CAUUGUGUUUAUACAUAGCAUCCAUGUGAAUUAAAUACAGUUCAAAGGGCACACAUUUGUGAGAGAAUAUUAAACAUUAACAAAAGAGUUAAAAGUGCAAAUGCAAUAAAUAAUGAGUAUUAAUUAACAAUUUUCUUUACAUUUUUUUGUUUAUUUAACUCGCUUUCAUUUUGUGAUUCAUAUGUAACUUCGUGAAAACUUUUUUUGUGUGUUAACUUGUGGACAUAAUUACACGCAUACAUACUCAUGCAUUCAUUUUGAAUAAACGAAAAUCAAAACUAACUAAAAUCUAAUUAAAAUUUCUGACUCAUCUGCAACAAAUAUUGACAACUGCAAAAAAACGCGUACAUAAACGACACUGAAAACAUUUGAACUUGCACCACUGAAUUCGAUUUCGAAAAACCGGCUGCACCGCCAUUAUUUGCUGGAUACUCGCCCGUCUCACUCGUGGACCGCACCGUAUGAUAUGUGGCAUAAAAUUUGCUUCAUGCAUCUGCCAUCGCAUUAAAUUAUGGAUUUAGCAGAUCAAAUCGAUGAUUACAUUUGUUCAUUUGAAGGAAUUGGUGACUUAACAAUGGACUCAUUAGCAAUCUUCAUAUUUAUUUGGGCCGUAGUAGCCCUCUUCUUAGUAUGGCUGUGCAAAUUUUUAUACAACAAAUAUGUGGUGAAUAACAAUAAAACGCCGACUAGUCAGAGCAAUAGCCGGCAAAGCAGUGUGGCCCCCGGCGGAGCUACCACAACGAAAAUCGAAGCGAACAAGCGACUUUCCGAACCAAGAGAAGUGGUGGCGAGCAAAGCGGACUUUAAGGACUUAGCUGCCAAACCCGUUGGUGCACGUGGACGGACACCAGUUGGCGGCGCUGGUGGUGGUGGUGGUGGUGCUAUUGGACCGCGACGACGCAUGGUGCGACAGGGCUCCACUGGGCCAGAAAGCCGCAAGAAGCGCUAUGUGCCGCCGCCAUCCAAUGUUGUUGGACCCGAGACAGUCUCCGUUACUUGGACUAGCCAAGUAUUCCGUUGGCUUUACAGCGAUCUGGUGAUUGUGAACGAACUUUUAACCUCCUGGGUUAUAGCUUUAAAUGAUACGCUGAAGAAAUCUAUGGAAGAGCAUGGUGUCGCUGUAGAAGUAGUACGCGUGCUCCCCGACAGUCCACCACCUAGUUUGAAUAAUAUUUUUUGCAACUGUGAUGAAAAUAAUCCAUCGGAUAUGCUGAUCACUUUCGAUUGCGAAGCACAGCCGGUGUUGCAGGUGAAAACGUUCCGCCAAAAGGCCGGCAAAAUCGACACCUCCCACUACAAAGUAACCGUUUCACGUUUCCGUGGGCGCAUGGCCACUGCCAUGAACUAUAACAGCCUCAAAGGCGAAAUGAAAGUUGAUGGUUAUCCGGAUAUACGCGUUGCCUUGAAUAGUGUGGGGGCCAUCAAGCCAAUAGAUCAGGAUGAACAACAGCUGCAGAAUGUGAUAAGCGAGAUUAUCAGCGUCGCCUUGCGUGACACCCUGUAUCCGGUGGACUUCUCGAUAUAUGCGACUUGCCCACGCGCCGAAAUCGAUCCCUUGGAUAUGCCUCAAAACAAGGAGGGCUCUAACCUGUCCGGGCUACAACCCAUGAUUUCUGGUCGCCGCUUGCUCGUGAAAAUUGUCAAGGGUGAGGGUCUCGCCGACGCCAAGGAUCCCUAUGUGGUGGUGGAGAUGGACGAACCGGCACAAAAAAAUCAAACUGGUGUGCGUCAGGGCACUACGCCCUAUUGGGAUGAACAUUUCCUAUUCGAAUUGUCGCCACAUUCGGCCGAGAUCCUGUUCGAAGUGUACGAUCGUGCCGCAAACGAGGAACCGAGUAAAUUCCUCGGCUUGGGUUUAGUGGGCAUUGAUGAGUUGGCCGUUGGGCCUGCAUCCACACAAGUGCUGACACUGCAGCCGCGCCCUUACGAGACGCAUCCGGUGAGUGGCACCAUCACUGUGGACUUUGUGUUCAUUGAAGGUGCCGAAAUACCCGCUGGACCCAAGCCGUAUAAGCUAAAAGAGGCGCUGAAGAUUAGCACGCCCAUCAUUAACGAGCACAUGAAGAAUGGCGCCGACUUGGCCAAUGCUGCGGUACGUGCGCUGCAAGAUGGCGCGCUAUCCACAACGGGACAGCCCAGCAAGAGUACGCUAAUUAUACACAGUGUUCAACGGAACCAGAACAAUUCAAAUGCAUUUAAGGUUGAGGUUAACAAUGAGGGCAGAAUCGAAGUCAAGGAAUCGCCGCAAGAUGAGCUUGACACGGCUGCGUCCCAAGCUUUGGAAAGCCCAUUGAACGACAAUACAAGCGAAUCGUUGCCCACCGCCAAUACGACAGCGGACAUAGAGCAAAUCCAUCAGGAUAUCUCGGUGACGACAGACAUAACGGCAAGUCCCACAGACUCGUUUCCAGCAAAUGAUGGGUACCUGGAGGAGUCGGGGGUGGCAUCAGGUAACAGCAGUGCCUUUGUUGCAUCCAGAGCGGAGUUUGGACAACCGAAUGCCGCCUCCUCUCCGCAAGGCCACAACGGAUACUCACCACAUAAUGGCAACUCGACUACAAAUGGAUCCCAGAGUUAUGGAUAUCAGAGCAACAGUCUGCCACGCAAUGGCGGCGCCACCAGUACACCAUUGAGCGGUGCUGAUCUGGACGAACGAGGCCGGAGUAAGAAACGAAAUUUCUUUGGAACAUUAAAAAAACGUUUAAGUCGAUCCAAGACACGCACCCAUUCGGCUGAUCGUGGCGCUUUGACGCCGUCCCAAAAUAAUAACGGUACUACCCCAACAGGAACACUUAACGGUGAUUCACGUUCAUUAUCUGUCGAUCGUGCUGUAAUGUCUAAAAGCAAUUCACUUGGUCUACGCGCUGGCUCCUCACGACUUGAUCACUCAAGGCAAUCUUCAAUUUCAGAAUCGUCCGCAAUCUCAGGUUUCUCAUCGGCCAGCAACAAAACGUACGUACACGAGGCAUCCACACUGGUGCUGGAGACGAUUGAGAAUGGCGUUAAGCGGCAUUUUAUUGUACCGCUGGCAAUUGCACAACGACCCAGGUGGCGUCGCAAGGGCACUAAGCUGCACAUCUACAAUGACCACACCUUCAUCGCCAAGCAUUUGAGCGGUGGCGGCCUACAAUGUCAAGUCUGCAUGAAGUCCAUCCCGCGCCGCCCGGGCAAGCAGGGCUACGAGUGCCGGGACUGCAAUCUGAUCUGCCACAAACAGUGUCACAUACGCGCGCCGCAGGCGUGUCCCAAUCCUACAGUGCUUUCAAUGGAAUUGACCUCAUUUCCGGUACUCACAGAACAAGAUAUACUCUAGUCAAUCUUAUAGUUGAUUUUGAAAAACCUUUAAGUUUAGUUGUAAUCAAACCUUCAUUCGAAAAUAUUUCUACAUAUUUGGGUUAUAAGUUUUUACUUACAUGCGAAAUUUUUGUUAAAACUAAAUUUUUUAUUAUAAAAAUUCAUAGAAUGUGCUAUAUUCUUUCUGUCGAAUUAUAUAAGAAUGGGAAAUGGAAAUUCGCACAUUUCAAAUGUGACAUUUUUAAAAAGCUUAUGGCAUUUACGAAAUUGUUUUGAACGCUUUCAACACUUUCAUUGCUGCUUUCGUUCAGUUUGUUAGAACCCUUCUAAAUAUUUUGUUGUCUAUUUAGUUUUCUGUUACCGUUUCGACUUCUAUGCUUCAAAUCCAAUUAAAUUUUUUUUGAUAUAGAUUUAUAUUUUUUUUUCGCAACGCCAAAUGUAUUAUUCUAACAGAAUUCAUAUCAAGCAAAGGAUAGUACCUUAAAAGCUUUUUAAAAUUUUCAUAAAUCACUGCUUAGCUUUUUCGCAUUUAAUCUUACUGAUAACAAUUUUUCUCAAUCCCACUAAUAACACUAUGCACAUUUACUAUAUCCCCUUACCCCCAACACAGGAUGACGACUUUUAAAAGAAUAGAGAUUUCUAACACCAGCAAUUAAUUUUACGCUUCACUAAUCAUGCUACAAAAAGGUUUAAAACAAUUUUGUAAUUUUUCAAUGUUGAAAGCUUUUCACUCGUUAUUCUCGCGCAGUGGGAAAAAUACUACGGAUUAUAUCUGUACUUGUAUGUCUUAAGAACAAAAUCAUAAACAAAAAAAAAAAUAAAAUAUAAAAGAAAAUUAAAAAUCUAACGGUUUUUGAUACGAAAAGUUAUGGAUUUCGGUACCUUACUACCGGAUCGAAGCUUAACUCUGCCGCUGCUGAUCGCAGUAUACGAAAAUUGUGAAAGUGUUGCUAAUGGAAACAAACACAUGCACAGAGCAAUGCCAGUCACAGCACAUCGCGUACAGCGACAGCCAGCAAGAAAGUAGUACCGUAUGUGAAGGAAGCAACCCUGACUCGAACCUAUUAAAAGAAAGCUCUCAGCAAGUUAAUCAUUAUUUAUUGAAGCCGAGUUUUCCUUUUUCUGUUAUUGUUUUUUUACACAAUUUUUGUUGUUUUAAGAUAUUUCAAAUACUCGCACACGAAGCAACAGGCUCGAAAUUUAAAAGAUAUACAACGGCAUCAUCAAAAGUAAUCAAAUACUGCACACUCUUUGUUAGGUUUCUUCUUUAAAAAAUCACCAAUUUAUCAAGUUUUGUGUGUAAGCCAAUUUUUCGAAACGAUGACCAGCAUUUUAUUUUGUAUUAUAUAUAAUUGCAAUACUUAUUUUAGAUAAUAUUUAACGAUUUGGAUUUUUUAUAAUUGUUUUGUACGUAAUUUUGUAUCUUAAGUUUUAUAAGUUCUAUUUCAUUCACUGCAGUAUCACAGUCUACGUCACAAAAAAACAAAGUUUCCCCAAGUUUAAAACUAACCAAAAAAACAUAGGAAAAUAAUUUUAAAAAUCAAUCAAAAUCUUUUGUGUUAAAAAUGUAUGUAUGUCAUAAAAAGUAUUAGUUUUAAAUCUCUUCUACAAAAAUGAAACAGUGUAUCAAAUAAGAAAAAGCACAAAUAAAUGUUCAAAAUCCGUAUAAGAGAAA
rnacentral:misc_RNA from 1 species